CUGAUGUGCAACUAUUGGCUUCUUCAUACUAGUAGUAGCCAAAGCCCUUGGCUAGGCAGUCUUUUACACAAUACAAAUAUGCAACUCGGAGAACAGUGCACAGGAUGGAGUCAGCAAAAAUACAGCACUUGUUUCGCACAGAGUCAAAGUUGAAGGGCGAAGUGGUGUGCUGGGGAGGAGUGCAGCAGGAAGAAGAGAGACAUCAGAAGACUGGACAGGAGAAGAGGGACAUCAGAAGACAUUCCAUUCACACAGAGC